rnacentral:rRNA from 1 species
CUACCAGACUCCUACGGGAGGCAGCAGUGGGGAAUAUUGCGCAAUGGGGGAAACCCUGACGCAGCAACGCCGCGUGAGUGAGGAAGUAUCUCGGUAUGUAAAGCUCUAUCAGCGGGGAAGAAAGAGGACGGUACCCGACUAAGAAGCCACGGCUAACUACGUGCCAGCAGCCGCGGUAAUACGUAGGUGGCAAGCGUUAUCCGGAUUUACUGGGUGUAAAGGGCGUGUAGGCGGGACUGCAAGUCAGAUGUGAAAACCACGGGCUCAACCUGUGGCCUGCAUUUGAAACUGUAGUUCUUGAGUACUGGAGAGGCAGACGGAAUUCCUAGUGUAGCGGUGAAAUGCGUAGAUAUUAGGAGGAACACCAGUGGCGAAGGCGGUCUGCUGGACAGCAACUGACGCUGAGGCGCGAAAGCGUGGGGAGCAAACAGGAUUAGAUACCCCAGUA